UGGGGAAUAUUGCACAAUGGGGGAAACCCUGAUGCAGCGACGCCGCGUGAACGAAGAAGGUAUUCGUAUCGUAAAGUUCUGUCCUAUGGGAAGAUAAUGACAGUACAAUAGAAGAAAGCUCCGGCUAAAUACGUGCCAGCAGCCGCGGUAAUACGUAUGGAGCGAGCGGUGUCCGGAAUUAUUGGGCGUAAAGGGUACGCAGGCGGUUUAAUAAGUCGAAUGGUAAAGAUCGGGGCUCAACCCCGCAAAGCAUUGGAAACUGAUAAACUUGAGUAGUGGAGAGGAAAGUGGAAUUCCUAGUGUAGUGGUGAAAUACGUAGAUAUUUGGAGGAAUACCAGUAGCGAAGGCGACUUUCUGGACACAAACUGACGCUGAGGUACGAAAGCGUGGGGAGCAAACAGG
rnacentral:rRNA from 1 species